CAACCAUCGCUGUUGAUCCGAUCUCCAGAUCUAAUUCCACCGAGACUCUACCUUCGACCACUGACUCGCUGUUGGAAGAUCACCCUCACUGCUUUGUUAGAUCUCCCCUGUCUCUCAUGUAGCCUUUGUUCACGUUGACUUCCCUUGUUUCGUUGGUUUGCUCGGUGGCCUGUUCUUUUCGUCGUCAACCAAAUCGCAGCUUCAUUCACCGCUACCAGUGUUCCUCUACUUGAGCCGGCAGCUUUAUUUGCGGUCGCCUACUUUGACAUAUCCUCCCCCUCCUCUCCUCGGUUGAUCUUCCUCUUUGAAGGAUCGUAGGGGGUGAUUCCCACGCACUUCGACGUCGACCAGGCCCUCAUCGACGGGCUCCGGCUACCGCCCAUCUACGGCCACGCCUUCCACCUUAGCAUCGUCGGUGAAGCCUGAUCUCAUCGAAAUGCCUGGCGAUCCCCUUCGGAGCAUGAAAAGAUAUCCUCAUCUGCACUCCAGUAAUGCUAGAUCCCCCAAUCUGCCGCCCUCCCCCAUCUCUCGCCAUUUCCUCUGCCUUAGCGCACCUCCGGCAACAUUAAUCUGCAGCAACAUAGGCUGUUCUACUGCGGUCGCUUUCUUCCCUGUGGCUACUACGGCACUUCCUCGAUGACUAGUGGCCGUCUCUGCCAGUGGCCGUCUUCCUUGAUAGAACAGUGAUAUUUUCUCGGAAAAUCUUAAUUAUUAUCAUGAAAAAUCUUAGUUAUUAUCAUGCCCCCGCAAGAUAGUACUCUUGUCAAGGAUGUUGAUCUUGGAUCAAUAUGAAUA
rnacentral:lncRNA from 1 species